UACGUAGGGUGCAAGCGUUAGGCGGAAUCACUGGGCUUAAAGCGUGUGUAGGCGGAUGCCUAAGUACCUUGUGAAAUCCCACGGCUCACCCGUGGAACUGCUCGGUAUACUGGGUGUCUUGAGCCACUUAGGGGCUACCGGAACAAAUGGUGGAGCGGUGAAAUGCGUAGAUAUCAUUUGGAACGCCAAUGGUGAAAACAGGUAGCUGGGAGUGUGCUGACGCUGAGACACGAAAGCCAGGGGAGCAAACGGG
rnacentral:rRNA from 1 species